rnacentral:rRNA from 1 species
GAUGAACGCUGGUGGCGUGCCUAACACAUGCGAGUCGAGCGAUUCUCUGCGGAGAAGCGCGGCGGACGGGUGGGUAACGCGGGGUUAACCUGCCCUGUACACACGAAUUACAUGCCGAAAGUUAUGCUAAUACGAGAUAGCAUACAUUUAUCGCAUGGUAGAAGUAGCAAGUCUCUUGCGGUACAGGGUUGCACCGAGUCUGAUUAGCUGGUUGCUGAGGUAACGCGUCACCAAGGCGACGAUCAGUAGCCGAUCUGAGAGGGAGAUCGGCAACACUGGAGCUGGGCCGCCGUCGAGACUCCUACGGGAGGCAGGAGAGGGGAAUAUAGCACAAUGGCGGAAGGCCUGAUGAUGUAAGGCUGCGUGAACGAUGAUGGCAGUGGGGUCGUAAAGUUCUGUCAGCAAGGAAGAUAUUGACGGUACUUGAGGAGGAAGCCCCGGCUAACUACGUG